rnacentral:rRNA from 1 species
UACGUAGGGUGCGAGCGUUGUCCGGAAUUAUUGGGCGUAAAGAGCUCGUAGGCGGUCUGUCGCGUCCGUUGUGAAAACUCGAGGCUCAACCUCGGGCUUGCAGUGGAUACGGGCAGACUAGAGUGCGGUAGGGGAGACUGGAAUUCCUGGUGUAGCGGUGGAAUGCGCAGAUAUCAGGAGGAACACCAAUGGCGAAGGCAGCUCGCUGGGACGUGACUGACGCUGAGACGCGAAAGCGUGGGGAGCAAACAGG